rnacentral:rRNA from 2 species
CGGAGGGAAACCGAGUCUUAACCGGGCGUUAAGUUGCAGGGUAUAGACCCGAAACCCGGUGAUCUAGCCAUGGGCAGGUUGAAGGUUGGGUAACACUAACUGGAGGACCGAACCGACUAAUGUUGAAAAAUUAGCGGAUGACCUGUGGCUGGGGGUGAAAGGCCAAUCAAACCGGGAGAUAGCUGGUUCUCCCCGAAAGCUAUUUAGGUAGCGCCUCGUGAAUUCAUCUCCGGGGGUAGAGCACUGUUUCGGCUAGGGGGCCAUCCCGGCUUACCAACCCGAUGCAAACUGCGAAUACCGGAGAAUGUUAUCACGGGAGACACACGGCGGGUGCUAACGUCCGUCGUGAAGAGGGAAACAACCCAGACCGCCAGCUAAGGUCCCAAAGUCAUGGUUAAGUGGGAAACGAUGUGGGAAGGCCCAGACAGCCAGGAUGUUGGCUUAGAAGCAGCCAUCAUUUAAAGAAAGCGUAAUAGCUCACUGGUCGAGUCGGCCUGCGCGGAAGAUGUAACGGGGCUAAACCAU